rnacentral:rRNA from 1 species
UGCCAGCCGCCGCGGUAAUACUGGGGGGGCAAGCGUUAUUCGGAAUUACUGGGCGUAAAGAGCGCGUAGGUGGCUAGGUAAGUCAAAGGUGAAAUCCCUCGGCUCAACCGAGGAACUGCCUUUGAAACUGUUUAGCUUGAGGCUGGGAGGGGAUAGCGGAAUUCCCGGUGUAGCGGUGAAAUUCGUAGAUAUUCGGAGGAACACCAGUGGCGAAGGCGGCUCACUGGCUCGAUACUGACGCUGAGGUGCGAAAGCGGGGGGAGCAAACAGGAUUAGAUA